UUGGAACGCGCUUCGGCGCACCCAGAAACCCUUUGUGAACUUAUACCUAUUUGUUGCCUCGGCGCAGGCCGGCCUCUUCACUGAGGCCCCCUGGAGACAGGGAGCAGCCCGCCGGCGGCCAACCAAACUCUUGUUUCUAUAGUGAAUCUCUGAGUAAAAAACAUAAAUGAAUCAAAACUUUCAACAACGGAUCUCUUGGUUCUGGCAUCGAUGAAGAACGCAGCGAAAUGCGAUAAGUAAUGUGAAUUGCAGAAUUCAGUGAAUCAUCGAAUCUUUGAACGCACAUUGCGCCCUCUGGUAUUCCGGAGGGCAUGCCUGUUCGAGCGUCAUUUCAACCCUCAAGCCUGGCUUGGUGAUGGGGCACUGCCUUCUAACGAGGGCAGGCCCUGAAAUCUAGUGGCGAGCUCGCUAGGACCCCGAGCGUAGUAGUUAUAUCUCGUUCUGGAAGGCCCUGGCGGUGCCCUGCCGUUAAACCCCCAACUUCUGAAAAUUUGACCUCG
rnacentral:rRNA from 1 species